rnacentral:rRNA from 1 species
CCUUCCGUGCCGCAGUUAACACAAUAAGUAUUCCACCUGGGGAGUACGACCGCAAGGUUGAAACUCAAAGGAAUUGACGGGGGCCCGCACAAGCAGUGGAUUAUGUGGUUUAAUUCGACGCAACGCGAAGAACCUUACCAGGACUUGACAUCCAACUAACGAAGUAGAGAUACAUUAGGUGCCCUUCGGGGAAAGUUGAGACAGGUGGUGCAUGGUUGUCGUCAGCUCGUGUCGUGAGAUGUUGGGUUAAGUCCCGCAACGAGCGCAACCCCUAUUGUUAGUUGCUACGAAAGAGCACUCUAGCGAGACUGCCGUUGACAAAACGGAGGAAGGCGGGGACGACGUCAAAUCAUCAUGCCCCUUAUGUCCUGGGCUACACACGUAAUACAAUGGUGGUAAACAGAGGGAAGCAAAACCGCGAGGUGGAGCAAAUCCCUAAAAGCCAUCUCAGUUCGGAUUGCAGGCUGCAACUCGCCUGCAUGAAGCUGGAAUUGCUAGUAAUCGCGGAUCAGCAUGCCGCGGGAAAU